GUGCUUGCUUUGGCAGCACAUAUACUAAAACUGGGACGCUACAGAGAAGAUUAGUAUGGCCCCUGUGCAAGGAUGACACCCAAAUUUGUGAAGUGUUCCCUAUUUAA
ensembl:snRNA U6 U6 spliceosomal RNA